rnacentral:misc_RNA from 1 species
UACGGGGGCCCCAAGUGUUGUCCGGUAUUAUUGGGCGUAAAGAGUUCUGUAGGCGGUAUUGUAAGUUACGGGUUAAAUCCUCCGGCUCAACCGGAGAACCGCUCGUGAUACUGCAUUACUAGAGGUAGACAGGGGAAGGCGGAACGCAUGGUGUAGCGGUGGAAUGCGUUGAUAUCAUGCGGAACACCGAAGGCGUAGGCAGCCUUCUGGGUCUUACCUGACGCUGAGAGACGAAAGCGUGGGGAGCGAAACGG